UACGUAGGGGGCUAGCGUUGUUCGGAAUUAUUGGGCGUAAAGCGCGCGUAGGCGGCUUUGUACGUUAGAGGUGAAAGCCCGGAGCUUAACUCCGGAACUGCCUUUAAGACUGCAUCGCUAGAAUCGUGGAGAGGUGAGUGGAAUUCCGAGUGUAGAGGUGAAAUUCGUAGAUAUUCGGAGGAACACCAGUGGCGAAGGCGGCUCACUGGUCCAUUACUGACGCUGAGGUGCGAAAGCGUGGGGAGCAAACAGG
rnacentral:rRNA from 1 species